AGGAACCCCUCAUUUCUGUUCAUCUUCUUCAACCCUUCUAAACCUAGCCGCCCUAAAAAUCCCAAACCCUACUGGCCGGCGGCCACCACCCCAAUCACGCCCAAAUUCACACCCUAUACUCCUUACCUUACCUUCAUCAUCAGUCUACCAUUAAUUUUUCAAAAAGCUCCGCCAAACUUGUCGAUUUCCAAAUCCAGAAAUUACUUGAAAUCCAAGUUCGCUCCUUUUCCGUUUGGUCGUUUGAGUUCGAAAUCGACAUUAGUCGAUUGCUCUUGAUAAGAGCAAUCAAUUGAUGGCAGGUUUUAACUCAUCGCCUGGCCAUCGGAGUCCAGCCAGAGUUUAUCACCAUCAUUGUUAGCCAUUCUUGCCUCAAUCACUGUUUCCCUUAAAGUAUUAAUCAAUUCAUUAUCUUCUAUAGCCUGUUAUUGUCUAACUAAUGAUUUGUGCUUAAAAUGGUAUUGAAAUAUGGCGGAUGGAUGGAUUUGACCACAAGUUGGUCGGAGUCAUCUCUGAAGAAGCCAAUACAGCACUCUAAAUUGCAGAAUUACAUUGUGUAUUGGUUUCAUAGCUUUUCACAGAGUUAACAGCUUCAGAUUUCGAUGACUAGCUAUAGAAGUUGGUGUGAGUUGAAGUGAAGUUCAUUGACCAUAUUUGCUAGAAUAGCUAUUACUGACAUAUUUGAGUGACAAAUUUAGUUAUAAGAGAUUGGUGUUGUAAUUAGAAUUUGAACCAUCCAUAUAUAUUCAUGUUGGGAUUAUGCUUAAAUUACUAUGUUUUUCUUUCAAUAAUAGAUGAAACUUUGAGUCA